UCUGGUUUGUCCUUACGAUGCGGAAUCAGCAGACCGAUCCAGGCUGAGUACUGAGAGAGAAGAACACAUCUGAGGCUGGAGGGCCACGCUGCGGAUGAAACCCAGAGUACACCAGCUACGAUGCUGCCCUGGACCCAGCCGGUGAGAUGGACAACCUGAGGGUAGAGGUCAGAGGUCCGGACAGAGUACACCAGCUACGAUGCUGCUCCCUGGACACCAGCCGGGGGGGACCUGAGGGUAGAGGUCAGAGUUCAGGACAGAGUACACCAGCUACGAUGCUGCUCCCUGGACACCAGCCGGUGAGAACCUGAGGGUAGAGGUCAGACAGACAUUUCUCCGGGCUGAGUGAUUACAGAGCCUCUUCCUUGAGAUCAAGUGAGUUACCGGUCUUAUCGUUGGCUCCACUCUCCACCAGCAUGCGGAGAAGACCACAGAGGGUCCGUGUGGCGUCUGUCUGCAUCACCUCGGAGUAGAUCCCAGCAGACAGAGACAGGGUCUUCAACAGGUUCACUGUGCUGGUUAACAACAUGGCUGUAGGGUGGGCACUCUUAUCCAGCACCUCUCCUUCUAGUACACACACAGGAAUAUACAUUAGAGAAAAGGUCUGUCUGACAUGUUAUUUCACCUUCCUUUCUACACACUGAAGGCCUUGCUUUGAUCGUUGUUGAUGUAGACCUUAAGACAUCUAAUUUAACUGAUUUGAUUGGAUCAGGGGGUGCAUAUGUACUGACCAGGGGGUGCAUAUGUACUGACCAGGGGGUGCAUAUAUACUGACCAGUGUCAUCCUCGGUGUCAGAGUCUUCAGUAGCAGGCUGGGAGGCAGGCGGGGGCUCUGACAGUUUCAGGUCGUAUUUUCCCUCCUUCCCCAUCCUGUAGGAGUUGGUACUGCUGGUAUCCCACUGGACCCUAAUCCACCCAUCCUCACCCAGCUCCCCUAUCACCCGGCCCAGACCCGGCGCAGGACCGUCCUACACAGAGACUAACAUUUUAGUCAUUUAACACAAGGGUUCUCAAACUUUUUCACUCAGACCCCCCUUCCAACAUUGGGAAACAGCCCGCACCCAAAACCCCACGUUUAUUUCUAUGGCCACCUUGCACAUUUUACUAUUACAACUUUUAAAGAGUAAGUUGAACAGAUGACAUUCAUAUUCUGACAAUCUCUGUAACUCACUUAGAUAAUAUAUUUGAUGUUACAGAAAACACAGCAAUGCCAAAGGUGGAGGUGCUGCUGUUUAUAUUCAGAACCACAUUCCUGUAGAGCUUAGAGACGAUCUCAUGUUAAAUACUGUUGAAGUAAUAAUGGCUACAGGUUCAUCUGCCUCACCUAAAGCCCAUUCUGGUGGGAAGCUGCUGUAGACCACCAAGUGCUAACAGUCAGUAUCUGGAUAACAUGUGUGAAAUGCUUGAUCUCAGGAUCCAUAAUAAACCCCAGGAAGAGUAGCUGCUGCUUGGCAGGAACUAAUGGGAGGAUCC
rnacentral:lncRNA from 1 species